GGCGCUGGUGGCCUGGUUUGCGGGGGUGGCGGUCUACCACCUGAUUGCCGCGCAGGCACCGGAACUGGGUGCUACCCUGCCAGCAUUGC
rnacentral:tRNA from 1 species